UUGAGGGGCUGAAAAAAACGGAAUAGUUACUCACAACUUGCACUCACACAUGCAACGAAGGCACACCAAAAAUACAGCAACACACGUACAGUUACACGGUUGAUGGGAGAAGUGCAACACAGUGUGUGGAAUAACAAUAUCUUUUAUGGUUGCCGAUUGCCUUGCUUUUAAGUUACGACGGAAUUACGUCAAGAAAAGAGCAAAAAUGAAUCCUGUAUCCUUUCAAUACACACAUUUUUGCUCGUGGUAAUUGUGACUUGCCCAUCACAAAAUACCCCGCGGGCAAGCUCAACGAAACUUUAAUGCGUUUCACCCACUUCCGACCCUCGUUGGCCUACACUUUCGAAGCGAUUGGCUAGCUCAUCAUGUAUUUACACAUGCAGCGCAUCGAAUGCGAUUGUGUGUGUUUGCGAAAUUAAUUGACAGAAAGUUUCAUUCCGUGGUCACUGUUUGUUUGGUUGAGAUCUGCAGAUUUUGCUUAAUAUAAAGAGCAAAGUAGCGUAAAGAAGUUUGGCUGUGUCGUUUAGUGACGUGAAGAAUACAUCGGAGAAACAACAGGAGUGCAAAAAGAGUGAAGAACAUUGACAUACGCUCGUGCAAGCGGCCAGAAAGAUGAACAAUUUCCGAAGCCGCUGAUAAACUUUGAUAAUAUCUGAAGUGAAAAAUAUCCAUAGGCUAUUUCAGCUGGUUGGCUACCAUCGCGUCUUUUUGAGAUCAUCAUGCACUGCAAGACACUAUGAGUCGUGAUUCCGGUCAUAAAAAUUCGAUGCAAAUGGAACAAUCCUGGUAAAAAUAUCAGGUAAACAUUUUUUGUGAAAGUUAAAAAAAUAUAUCACGAGAACUAAAAGUUCCCGCAAUAAUAAAGAAUAAAACCAUAA